rnacentral:rRNA from 1 species
GACGAACGCUGGCGGCGUGCUUAACACAUGCAAGUCGAACGAAGUGGCGAACGGGUGAGUAACGCGUAAUAAACCUGCCCUUCAUAGGGGGACAACAGUUGGAAACGACUGCUAAUCCCGAAUACUGAAGGAGGGGUUUGCGUCGAAAUAGUUAGUUGACGGGCUAACGGCCCACCAAGUCGAUGAUCAGUAGCCGGUCUUAGAGGAUGAACGGCCACAUUGGGACUUAGACACGGCCCAGACUCCUACGGGAGGCAGCAAUGGGGAAUCUUCCGCAAUGGACGAAAGUCUGACGGAGCAACGCCGCGUGAGUGAUGAUGGCCUUCGGGUUGUAAAGCUCUGUUAAUCGGGACGCAGUACCGGAAUAGAAAGCCACGGCUAACUACGUGCCAGCAGCCGCGGUAAUUC